GCUCAGCCUAACGCCUCCACUGAAGCACCCAUCUGGCAGGCUGGUGUGUCUGUGGGCUGCUGGAGAGUCGUGGAGUCCUGUUUCAGUGGCUCCGUUCCCCCGGUUACCGAGUGAGCCGCACUUCCCCCAGGGUUGGGCUGUCCAGGCAUAGGUGCCAGUUUCAUAACGGCCAGAGGGAGUUCCUAAGUGCCCAAUUUCGGCCUUCAGGGUCUCUCUGUGUACUUGUUGCUACCCUGGAAAUCAGAUCAAGCUGGCCUUGAACUCAUAAAGAGACCCACUGGCCCUCUACCUCCUGGUUGCCAGAGAGAAAAGCAACACACCCAGGGACCACCAGUCAGCAGUGUGGUUGUAAGGCCCACCACUCAGGACCUCUGGGGCUGUGGCACGAAAGAGCUGCUAGCUGGAGAAGGUAGUCUACUCAGCACUCAAGCCUAUACUUGGAGGACCCACACCCAAAUCCUUCGCAUCCAUAGGAACCCAAAUAACCGUCUCUGCUUCCUACUGCCUUCUCAGAUCUGUGGAAACUUCUUGAGAUCCUUGCUCAACUUAAGAGAAAAGACUUAACUCUACCUUUACAUCACGGUGGAUGAUACCCAAGUCGUGGAGAUAGCCUGUGGAGAACAGUGGGCAUGGGUGUGUCUGCCAGUUUCUUUGUAGCCCCUAUCUCUCCUCUAUCCUGACUUCCAAAAUUAAAUAUUAAUUCUGUUUCUCCUCCCCACUAA